GAUGAACGCUGGCGGUAUGCUUAACACAUGCAAGUCGAACGGACUCUUCGGAGUUAGUGGCGGACGGGUGAGUAACGCGUGAGAAUCUGGCUUUGGGUUCGGGACAACCACUGGAAACGGUGGCUAAUACCGGAUGUGCCGAGAGGUAAAAGAGAAAUUGCCUGAAGAUGAGCUCGCGUCUGAUUAGCUAGUUGGUGAGGUAAAGGCUCACCAAGGCAGCGAUCAGUAGCUGGUCUGAGAGGAUGACCAGCCACACUGGGACUGAGACACGGCCCAGACUCCUACGGGAGGCAGCAGUGGGGAAUUUUCCGCAAUGGGCGAAAGCCUGACGGAGCAAUACCGCGUGAGGGAAGAAGGCUCUUGGGUUGUAAACCUCUUUUCUUAGGGAAGAACAAAAUGACGGUACCUAAGGAAUCAGCAUCGGCUAACUCCGUGC
rnacentral:rRNA from 1 species